UGAAAUUUUCAGCAGUAAUGCACUGGAUUCUAUCAGAACUCUGAAUUUAGGCGUACUGGGGAGAGAGUAGUACUGGGAUGGGUGAGUGAUCUCUUGAGAAAUCCUCGAAUUGUAC
rnacentral:rRNA from 1 species